GAUGAACGCUGGCGGCGUGCCUAAUACAUGCAAGUCGAGCGAACGGACGAGAAGCUUGCUUUUCUGAUGUUAGCGGCGGACGGGUGAGUAACACGUGGAUAUCCUACCUAUAAGACUGGGAUAACUUCGGGAAACCGGAGCUAAUACCGGAUAAUAUUUUGAACCGCAUGGUUCAAAAGUGAAAGACGGUCUUGCUGUCACUUAUAGAUGGAUCCGCGCUGCAUUAGCUAGUUGGUAAGGUAACGGCUUACCAAGGCAACGAUGCAUAGCCGACCUGAGAGGGUGAUCGGCCACACUGGAACUGAGACACGGUCCAGACUCCUACGGGAGGCAGCAGUAGGGAAUCUUCCGCAAUGGGCGAAAGCCUGACGGAGCAACGCCGCGUGAGUGAUGAAGGUCUUCGGAUCGUAAAACUCUGUUAUUAGGGAAGAACAUAUGUGUAAGUAACUGUGCACAUCUUGACGGUACCUAAUCAGAAAGCCACGGCUAACUACGUG
rnacentral:rRNA from 1 species